rnacentral:rRNA from 1 species
AACGAACGCUGGCGGCAUGCCUAACACAUGCAAGUCGAACGAGAUCUUCGGGUCUAGUGGCGCACGGGUGCGUAACGCGUGGGAAUCUGCCCUUUGGUUCGGAAUAACAGUUGGAAACGACUGCUAAUACCGGAUGAUGACGAAAGUCCAAAGAUCUAUCGCCAGAGGAUGAGCCCGCGUAGGAUUAGCUAGUUGGUGUGAUAAAGGCGCACCAAGGCGACGAUCCUUAGCUGGUCUGAGAGGAUGAUCAGCCACACUGGGACUGAGAUACGGCCCAGACUCCUACGGGAGGCAGCAGUGGGGAAUAUUGGACAAUGGGCGAAAGCCUGAUCCAGCAAUGCCGCGUGAGUGAUGAAGGCCUUAGGGUUGUAAAGCUCUUUUACCCGGGAUGAUAAUGACAGUACCGUGAGAAUAAGCUCCGGCUAACUCCGUGCCAGCCGCCGCGGUAA